rnacentral:rRNA from 1 species
AUCAUUACACAAAUAUGAAGGCGGGCUGGCACCUCCCGGGGUGGCCAGCCCUUGCUGGAUUAUUCCACCCGUGUCUUUUGCGUACUUCUUGUUUCCUUGGUGGGCUCGCCCACCACAAGGACCAACCCAUAAACCUUUUUGCAAUGGCAAUCAGCGUCAGUAACAAUGUAAUAAUUUACAACUUUCAACAACGGAUCUCUUGGUUCUGGCAUCGAUGAAGAACGCACCGAAAUGCGAUAAGUAGUGUGAAUUGCAUAAUUCAGUGAAUCAUCGAAUCUUUGAACGCACAUUGCGCCCUUUGGUAUUCCAAAGGGCAUGCCUGUUCGAGCGUCAUUUGUACCCUCAAGCUUUGCUUGGUGUUGGGCGUCUUUUUGUCUCCCCUUGCGGGAGACUCGCCUUAAAGUCAUUGGCAGCCGGCCUACUGGUUUCGGAGCGCAGCACAAGUCGCGCUCUCUUCCAGCCCCAAGGUCUAGCAUCCACCAAGCCUUUUUUUUCAACUUUUGACCUCGGAUCAGGUAGGGAUACC